rnacentral:lncRNA from 1 species
UCAAUAGCUGUCAAUCACAUUAACAUUUCAAAAAAUAAAUUUGUUACUGCUCCUCCAUCCCCAUCAUCUACAACUCAUCUCUCCCUUUCUUCCCCUACAACUCAAAAUCCUCUCGUUCUCUCUCUUGAAAUGGUACCUCUCGAGAUAAGAUUGUUUAUUGAAGAACAGAGAGAGCAACAUAUCCAUUCCUAGCUAUCACCUAUUUCUUACUUAAAUAUGGUUUCAUUUUGAGAUAUUGUAUGUAAAUUUAAUGAGUAUUUUUGUCACAGUUCAUGGCCAACAAUUCGUAUAUGAAUAACAUGGAGGAAAUAGAGGCUGCUUGCUCCAUCCUGAAGGACGGUUACCAACUUGUACAGGGGGUGGAGAGUGAGCCUUUGACUCCUAAAGAAGGUGAAGGGGAAGAUGCUCCGGCUCCUAAAGAAAGUGAGGGGAGGAGGCUCCGACUCUUGCAGAAGUUGAGGCUCAGGCUCCGGGUCAGUAUCCAACCGGACUACUAGCUUAGUUAACGAUGCCGUUGAGCGAUGUCGGGACACAUGAGAGGAGAUAGAGUUGCAAUUUGCAAAGGAUGUGGAAUGGCUGGUUUAAUUAUUAAUUCUUUAUUGAUUAUUUAGAUAUGUUACUUAUUUCAUAAAAUACUUAAUAAAUAAUAAAUAAUUAUUUUAAAUUAUUUUGUGG